UUUAAGCGCAGACAUGAUUUUUCGUGUCCAACUUUAAUCGUUAGGUUUAUUUAAAUUUUUAUGAUUAGUAUUUUUUUUUGUUAUUAGAUGAUAAAAAUAUGAAUAGUAUUUUAUGUAUGGCUUCUGCUUUUUAAUUUUUUUUAAAAAAAUUAUAUAAGACGGACGAUUAAAAUUGAACACGUAAACUCACGACUGCGUUUGAA
rfam:Oryza glumipatula chromosome 4, whole genome shotgun sequence.